CAUCUAAGAUCAGAAAAAGAGCAUGAAUGUCCACACUCCCUGCUUCCAUUCAUCAUUGUAUCAGAAGUUCCUGUCAGUUAAAUAAGCCCUGACUCUCAACAUCCUUAUAUUCACAUUGUGCUGGAAUUCCUGCUCUUCUUCUGACAAGUUGUUAGCUACUUGCUGUGGACUCCUCUCCAUCAUGUGAAAUGCCCCCAGCCAGUAAGAUCUAGACCAAAGCCAUCUCCUCUAUAAGCACCUGGAGUACUUGGCUCCUACUUUUGGCUAGCCAACAUCACCUCUUCACCCAGGAAAAACAGCCCCAGCAGAACCUUCCCUCCUUCACUUUCUUUCCCUAAACUUGCUAUUCAGAGCACCUUCUUGAAGACUCCCAGGUGCUGGGAAGAAGAGGAUAGCAGGAUGGUAAAGAAAUUCUUUGGAAAUGCGAACUUACCCCACUGGUGAGGUUGAUGUCAAGCCUCCUUCUCGUCCAGCUCCGAUAGGACCACAGGCUGCUAGAAGAGCUUCAUUCAGGAGGUGUUCAUCUUCCUUACAAAGUGGAAAA